rnacentral:rRNA from 1 species
GUUGUCCUGGGGAAAGGCGGUAGGCAUGAUUCUUAGGCAAAUCCGGGAAUCUUUAUGCCGAGCACCGAGACGAGUCCUAUGAGGACGAAGUGACUGACACCACGCUUCCAGGAAAAGCCACUAAGCUUCAGCUGUAGAAAAACCGUACCGUAAACCGACACUGGUAGGCAUGGUGAGAAUCCCAAGGCGCUUGAGAGAACUCGGGUGAAGGAACUAGGCAAAAUGGCACCGUAACUUCGGGAGAAGGUGCGCCCUUUGGUGUGGUCACGUGCGUGACUGAGCAUCGAAGGGUCGCAGUAACCUGGCCGCUGCGACUGUUUAUCAAAAACACAGCACUCUGCAAACACGAAAGUGGACGUAUAGGGUGUGACGCCUGCCCGGUGCUGGAAGGUUAAUUGAUGGGGUCAGCCGCAAGGCGAAGCUCUUGAUCGAAGCCCCAGUAAACGGCGGCCGUAACAAUAACGGUCCUAAGGUAGCGAAAUUCCUUGUCGGGUAAGUUCCGACCUGCACGAAUGGCGUAACGACAGCGGCGCUGUCUCCACCCGAGACUCAGUGAAAUUGAAAUCGCUGUGAAGAUGCAGCGUUCCCGCGGCAAGACGGAAAGACCCCGUGAACCUUUACUAUAGCUUUACAUUGAACGUUGAGUUCUUCUGUGUAGGAUAGGUGGGAGGCUAUGAAACCGAGACGCUAGUUUCGGUGGAGCCAUCCUUGAAAUACCACCCUGAAGUGCUUGACGUUCUAACCUAGGUCCGUAAUCCGGAUCGGGGACCAUGUAUGGUGGGUAGUUUGACUGGGGCGGUCUCCUCCCAAAGAGUAACGGAGGAGCACGAAGGUACGCUCAGCGCGGUCGGACAUCGCGCACUGUGUGCAAAGGCAUAAGCGUGCUUGACUGCGAGAUCGACGGAUCAAGCAGGUACGAAAGUAGGUCUUAGUGAUCCGGUGGUUCUGUAUGGAAGGGCCAUCGCUCAACGGAUAAAAGGUACUCCGGGGAUAACAGGCUGAUACCGCCCAAGAGUUCAUAUCGACGGCGGUGUUUGGCACCUCGAUGUCGGCUCAUCACAUCCUGGGGCUGUAGCCGGUCCCAAGGGUAUGGCUGUUCGCCAUUUAAAGUGGUACGCGAGCUGGGUUCAGAACGUCGUGAGACAGUUCGGUCCCUAUCUGUCGUGGGCGUUGGAGAUUUGAGGGGGGCUGCUCCUAGUACGAGAGGACCGGAGUGGACGUUCCGCUGGUGUUCGGGUUGUCAUGCCCAUGGCAUUGCCCGGUAGCUACGAACGGAAGUGAUAACCGCUGAAAGCAUCUAAGCGGGAAGCACGCCCCAAGAUGAGAUCUCCCGAGAGCUAGACUCUCCUUAAGGCACCAUCAAGACUAGGUGGUUGAUAGGCACGGUGUGGAAGUGCAGCAAUGCAUUGAGCUUACGUGUACUAAUGAGCCGUGAGGCUUGACC